GGCUGAUCCAAAGGCAGUAAGUUAACAGCCAGUUACAGAUUGAACUCCUUGUUCUACUCUUUUUUUCCUUCUCACUACUGCACUUGACCAGUACUAA
rnacentral:Y_RNA from 1 species